rnacentral:rRNA from 1 species
UACGGAGGGUGCGAGCGUUGUCCGGAAUCACUGGGCGUAAAGGGCGCGUAGGCGGCCUGGUAAGUAGGGGGUGAAAUCCUGCGGCUUAACCGCAGGGCUGCCUUCUAAACUGUCAGGCUCGAGCACGGUAGAGGCAGAUGGAAUUCCCGGUGUAGCGGUGGAAUGCGUAGAUAUCUGGAGGAACACCGGUGGCGAAGGCGGCAUCCUGGACCAACACUGACGCUGAGGAGCGAAAGCCAGGGGAGCAAACGGG